rnacentral:lncRNA from 1 species
GAUUCAUUGACAGGGGAUACUGAUCUUUCUCCCAUCAUCAGAGACCUCAUACCUGAGUUGAGAUUUGCGCUGAUUAGUCAUCUACGUCUUAGCCUGCCAUUCAGAAAAGUACUCAAGCACCUUUUCCUUCUUUUUGAUUUGACUGUUUCCGGAUAAGUUCAUGCCAUGCCCUUCAACCAACGGCUAAUACUUUUCUUCGUGACGACGGUUCUGGUGGUGGUUACGAUUUGCACAGCUCCAGAAACGGUGAUGGCUGCUCCUUCUAAUCCUUCUUUCAGGAGUGGUAUUUGCCAGUUCCUUUGUACUAAAGAUCCACCCGAGGGAGGAAACUUUUGCAACUGUGACAGGCACCCAUUAGGCAAGCGUUCAGUGCCUGAAGCGUUAGAGGACAUGCAAUGAUGAUAAAUAUUUACAUGUUUUGAAGUCAUUUUCAUGAAGAUGAAGGUGACAAAAUUAAGAAGUAGUUGCCAUGCAGAAAAUGUUCGUAAAACAACUAUGUAGUUCGAAAUAUAAUACUGGAAAUAUUUUUGUGUAUUUGCAUGGCUUUGUACAUAUAACGAACUUGCUAUAUUUUAGUUCUAUAUUUACUUUAUGUAUAGUUUUUAUCUAUGGACGAUAAUUUUUUCAUUGAAAAUUGCGUCAUCAUUUCAUUUACUAAACACAAUAAAUUUUAGUAUAUGCUAUGUAACGCAAUUCCAUUUUAAAGCUGCAUUGUAUUUCACUUAUUAUUCAGGAAACUAAUCAGUUCUUCAAUUCACUAUGAAUGUUAUAAGAAUAACGGAGAAAAGUGUUUUAAAGGACGAAAUAUAAAACAUACAUCGUGCAUAUUUUACCUAAUAUAAUCUUUUCAGCUGUAAAGGAAACAUUUAUAAAUCAAAUAUUUAUAAAUCACAAAAAUUUCUUUAAAUAACUGUAUGCAAUCAUACAAAACUCAUUGAAGCGCAUAUGAUCUCAAUGCAUUCUUUGUAACAAUAAUACAAUAAAGUAAUGAAUGCUGCAAUUAGAAAUGGGUAAAGACUGUAUAAAUACGAUUUUCUUUGAAUUUUAUUUAAUUCAAUAAAACAGGUAAUUCUAUUAAACUAUUCUUCUGUUGCACUAAAUAUACUGCCUAUUAUAUGUAUGCUUUCAUUUUGCGCGAAAUAAUGUAUUAUUCAGGCCAAUAACGGAGCUGCGCUUAAUAACUGUUAUUUUCAAAUAAUAUUCUUCUUAUAAUCUUUUAUAUUUUUGGACGCCUGAAAUGUGUUUCCAAUAAAACAUAUUUAUUUGUACUGUUCA